UAAGACGAACCGUGCGAACGUUGUUCGGAAUCACUGGGCUUAAAGGGCGCGUAGGCGGGUCGAAAAGUCCGUGGUGAAAUCCCCCCGCUCAACGGGGGAACGGCCGCGGAUACUGUCGGCCUCGAGGGGGGUAGGGGCGAGCGGAACGCUGGGUGGAGCGGUGAAAUGCGUUGAUAUCCAGCGGAACUCCGGUGGCGAAGGCGGCUCGCUGGGCCCUCUCUGACGCUGAGGCGCGAAAGCCAGGGGAGCGAACGGGAUUAGAUACCCCGGUAGUCCUGGCCCUAAACGAUGGGAACUAGGUAGUCGGCCGGCAUGGGCCGACUGCCGGAGCCAAAGUGCUAAGUUCCCCGCCUGGGGAGUAUGGCCGCAAGGCUG
rnacentral:rRNA from 1 species